rnacentral:rRNA from 1 species
UACAGAGGGUGCAAGCGUUGUUCGGAAUUAUUGGGCGUAAAGCGAGUGUAGGCGGUUUCCUAAGUCGGAUGUGAAAGCCCCGGGCUCAACCCGGGAAGUGCACUCGAAACUGGGAGGCUAGAGUAUCGGAGAGGUUGGUGGAAUUCUCGGUGUAGAGGUGAAAUUCGUAGAUAUCGAGAGGAACACCGGUGGCGAAGGCGGCCAACUGGACGAAUACUGACGCUGAGACUCGAAAGCGUGGGGAGCAAACAGG